rnacentral:rRNA from 1 species
UACAGAGGGGGCUAGCGUUAUUCGGAAUUAUUGGGCGUAAAGGGCGCGUAGGCGGCCACGCGUGUCUUUCGUGAAAUCCCUCGGCUUAACUGAGGACGUGCGGAAGAAACUGCGAGGCUUGAGUCCGGGAGAGGGGGGUGGAAUUCCCAGUGUAGCGGUGAAAUGCGUAGAUAUUGGGAGGAACACCGGUGGCGAAGGCGGCCCCCUGGACCGGUACUGACGCUGAGGCGCGAAAGCCAGGGGAGCGAACAGG